CCUACGGGAGGCAGCAGUGGGGAAUAUUGCACAAUGGGGGAAACCCUGAUGCAGCGACGCCGCGUGAGUGAUGAAGUAUUUCGGUAUGUAAAGCUCUAUCAGCCGGGAAGAUAAUGACGGUACCUGACUAAGAAGCUCCGGCUACAUACGUGCCAGCAGCCGCGGUAAUACGGAUGGAGCAAGCGUUAUCCGGAUUUACUGGGUGUAAAGGGAGCGCAGACGGCAGGGCAAGUCUGAUGUGAAAGUCCGGGGCCCCACCCCGGGACUGCCGUGGAAACUGUCCGGCUAGAGUGGAGGAGAGGUAAGUGGAAUUCCUAGUGUAGCGGUGAAAUGCGUAGAUAUCGGGAGGAACACCAGUUGCGAAGGCGGCUUACCGGACUGUAACUGACGUUGAGGCUCGAAAGCGUGGGGAGCAAACAGGAUUAGAUACCCCAGUAGUC
rnacentral:rRNA from 1 species